rnacentral:pre_miRNA from 13 species
GCGGGGCGGACCGCUCUCCCUGUCUUCCAGGAGCUCACGUGUGCCUGCCUGUGAGCGCCUCGACGACAGAGCCGGCGCCCGCCCCAGUGUCCGCGCC